GCCGUAUAUUAAAUACGUUCCUUGCUUCCAUGGGCCGCGGUUGACCAUAAUAAGAAGCCGCAUAAUCCAUAAGGAGCAAUUGAAUG
rfam:Serratia symbiotica str. &apos;Cinara cedri&apos;, complete genome.